AACUCUCAACAACGGAUAUCUUGGCUCUCGCAACGAUGAAGGACGCAGCAAACUGCGAUACGUAGUGUGAAUUGCAGGAUUUCGCGAACCAUCGAGUAUCCCAACGCAUAUGGCGCUCGAGGCUUCGGCCGAGAGCAUGUCUGCCUGAGCGUC
rnacentral:rRNA from 1 species